rnacentral:rRNA from 1 species
UGUGAGGGUUGCUGGAGGUAUCAGAAGUGCGAAUGCUGACAUAAGUAACGAUAAAGCGGGUGAAAAGCCCGCUCGCCGGAAGACCAAGGGUUCCUGUCCAACGUUAAUCGGGGCAGGGUGAGUCGACCCCUAAGGCGAGGCCGAAAGGCGUAGUCGAUGGGAAACGGGUUAAUAUUCCCGUACUUGGUGUUACUGCGAAGGGGGGACGGAGAAGGCUAUGUUGGCCGGGCGACGGUUGUCCCGGUUUAAGCGUGUAGGCUGGUUUUCCAGGCAAAUCCGGAAAAUCAAGGCUGAGGCGUGACGACGAGGCACUACGGUGCUGAAGCAACAAAUGCCCUGCUUCCAGGAAAAGCCUCUAAGCAUCAGGUAACAUCAAAUCGUACCCCAAACCGACACAGGUGGUCAGGUAGAGAAUACCAAGGCGCUUGAGAGAACUCGGGUGAAGGAACUAGGCAAAAUGGUGCCGUAACUUCGGGAGAAGGCACGCUGACACGUAGGUGAAGUGAUUUACUCAUGGAGCUGAAGUCAGUCGAAGAUACCAGCUGGCUGCAACUGUUUAUUAAAAACACAGCACUGUGCAAACACGAAAGUGGACGUAUACGGUGUGACGCCUGCCCGGUGCCGGAAGGUUAAUUGAUGGGGUCAGCGCAAGCGAAGCUCCUGAUCGAAGCCCCGGUAAACGGCGGCCGUAACUAUAACGGUCCUAAGGUAGCGAAAUUCCUUGUCGGGUAAGUUCCGACCUGCACGAAUGGCGUAAUGAUGGCCAGGCUGUCUCCACCCGAGACUCAGUGAAAUUGAACUCGCUGUGAAGAUGCAGUGUACCCGCGGCAAGACGGAAAGACCCCGUGAACCUUUACUAUAGCUUGACACUGAACAUUGAGCCUUGAUGUGUAGGAUAGGUGGGAGGCUUUGAAGUGUGGACGCCAGUCUGCAUGGAGCCGACCUUGAAAUACCACCCUUUAAUGUUUGAUGUUCUAACGUGGACCCGUAAUCCGGGUUGCGGACAGUGUCUGGUGGGUAGUUUGACUGGGGCGGUCUCCUCCUAAAGAGUAACGGAGGAGCACGAAGGUUGGCUAAUCCUGGUCGGACAUCAGGAGGUUAGUGCAAUGGCAUAAGCCAGCUUGACUGCGAGCGUGACGGCGCGAGCAGGUGCGAAAGCAGGUCAUAGUGAUCCGGUGGUUCUGAAUGGAAGGGCCAUCGCUCAACGGAUAAAAGGUACUCCGGGGAUAACAGGCUGAUACCGCCCAAGAGUUCAUAUCGACGGCGGUGUUUGGCACCUCGAUGUCGGCUCAUCACAUCCUGGGGCUGAAGUAGGUCCCAAGGGUAUGGCUGUUCGCCAUUUAAAGUGGUACGCGAGCUGGGUUUAGAACGUCGUGAGACAGUUCGGUCCCUAUCUGCCGUGGGCGCUGGAGAACUGAGGGGGGCUGCUCCUAGUACGAGAGGACCGGAGUGGACGCAUCACUGGUGUUCGGGUUGUCAUGCCAAUGGCACUGCCCGGUAGCUAAAUGCGGAAGAGAUAAGUGCUGAAAGCAUCUAAGCACGAAACUUGCCCCGA